rnacentral:misc_RNA from 1 species
AACGCACAUUGCGCCCGCCAGUAUUCUAGUGGGCAUGCCUGUUCGAGCGUCAUUUCAACCCCUAAGCACAGCUUACUGUUGGGAAUCCACGCCCGUGGUUCCUCAAAGACAUUGGCGGAGCGGCAGUAGUCCUCUGAGCGUAGUAAUUCUUUAUCUCGCUUUUGUUAGGUGCUGCCCCCCCGGCCGUAAAACCCCCCCUUUUUUCUGGUUGACCUCGGAUCAGGUAGGAAUACCCGCUGAACUUAA